GGACCGGUAGCUCAGCGGUAGAGCGUGGGAUUGCAGUUAAGCAGUAUAACAACUAUCCUAAGGUCACGCGUUCGACCCGCGUUCGGUCCU
rnacentral:tRNA from 1 species